GGCAGAGUGCCUGCCAGGGAACAGCCAUUUUAAGAGGGGCGGUUUACUUGGAGGGAUUAAAGUGCUGAGCCUGAGGUCUAAGUGCAGAGGCUUGGACAAGCAAGACAGACCAGUAACCGGGCAUGGAGAGAAACGGUUAAGUUUGAAAAAAGGCAGAGAACAGAUGAAAUUCAUGGGUUCAUAACCAAAGGAUGUUCCACUAACACCAGCAGCACGAAUGCAGAAAUGGGCUCUGUUUCUUGGAGGACACAAUAAUAAGUUCAAACUCAAGAGGACAAAUAAUGAUGGAAAUACUGAUGGAUUGCCUCAUUAACCCUUCUAAAAGGAAGUACCUGAAAAAUUUACCGAAGAGGACACUCCUCUUGACGUAUUCUCCCAAAUGCAAAUUCAAGGUAUCCCUAUUACGACAGAUUUGAUUCAAAGGGAAACCAAAUAAGAUCUCACACUGUCACAGGUCUGCCUGACUACCCAAAAUGUCCAGAAUGUGCAGCAGACACUCUGGGUUUCACCAUUUUUACUAGGGCCAGGAUGAACUUGCCCUUGAUGGAGGUUGUUUUACGUAGGGUUUGAGAGGAGUUGUGCCAUUCAAGCUGAGAGCUAAAGUGUUGGAGGAGCUACAUGCCGGUUAUCUAGGCUUGGUCAAAAUGAAAGCAUUGGCUCGAAGCUUUGUCUGGUGGCCUGAUAUAGAUCAGCUGUUUGAGCAGCUUGCCAUACACUAUUUGGAUGCCAGCACAUCCAGAAGAUGCCAAGAACAGUGCCUCUCCAUCCCUCGGAAUGACCUGCUUUUGCCUCGGCAGAGGAUUCAUGUGAAUUUUACUACCCCACUCAAAGGAAUAAAGUUCAUGGUAGUAGUUGAUGCAGCCAUAAGGUGGUCAGUAGUGUUCCCAAUAGCCUCCACUAUAGCCUCACACACUGUUGAUGUACUGAGAGGACCCUUCUCAAGGACCAGUGUACCAGAAGUGUGCUGUUUUCCCUAUGUCUCUAUAACUUUGGGAGAUAGCAUGAGUGAAUCCUGAAAUUAAUGGGAAAAGAUAUCUAAAGAGGCAGGCUUCAAUGGUGGUUAAUUUAGUACAGUCAAGUCUUUUGCAAAUAUUUAGUUGUCUUUCUUGAUUUAUUCAUGAGUUAACGGUGAACUUUAUGAGAUUGAUACAUCUACAUCUCUGUCUCAGCUGAAUCAGGUCCACAACUCCAUGCUUAAAUAUGUGAACUACAAAAGAAUGAGUAAUCCCUCCAGCUCCAGCCCAA